CGUACACUCCUACGGGAGGCAGCAGUGGGGAAUAUUGCACAAUGGGCGCAAGCCUGAUGCAGCCAUGCCGCGUGUAUGAAGAAGGCCUUCGGGUUGUAAAGUACUUUCAGCGGGGAGGAAGGCGAUAAGGUUAAUAACCUUGUCGAUUGACGUUACCCGCAGAAGAAGCACCGGCUAACUCCGUGCCAGCAGCCGCGGUAAUACGGAGGGUGCAAGCGUUAAUCGGAAUUACUGGGCGUAAAGCGCACGCAGGCGGUCUGUCAAGUCGGAUGUGAAAUCCCCGGGCUCAACCUGGGAACUGCAUUCGAAACUGGCAGGCUAGAGUCUUGUAGAGGGGGGUAGAAUUCCAGGUGUAGCGGUGAAAUGCGUAGAGAUCUGGAGGAAUACCGGUGGCGAAGGCGGCCCCCUGGACAAAGACUGACGCUCAGGUGCGAAAGCGUGGGGAGCAAACAGGAUUAGAAACCCUGGUAGUCCCA
rnacentral:rRNA from 1 species